UGAAAUUAGUAGGUUUGUGUGAUGGACUGGUGUCACAUCCAGGCUGUAGUAUUAUACUGGCUAUAGUUAGGGAUUUUAUACCUGUGAACCUUUAUGACAAGAUUUCCUAAAAACUGUAUCUGUAUUUGUAUCUGUUUAGAACACAUUACCUGUUCAUUCAGAGUGAGGGAUUCAGUCACAUCCCUAACAGCCAUGCAGAAAUAAACCUUAAAUAACUAGGAUUAAAAUAGGUGAAGUGAUGAAACUGAUCAACUGCAAUAUUUGUUCACAGUGUUCUACAGAAGGCAGGAGACAGAACAGAAACUAUCAUCACAGAUACAGGGAACCACCCAGAAUCUGCUGCUGUAAAUGAAUUCCAGAAAACAUUCAGAUUAAAACUGAUAAAGAAGUUUCAGUACUUGAAUGGAGUGAUGAUAAACCUGGGAACCCAAACACUCCUGAAUGAGAUCUACACAGAGCUCUACAUCACAGAGGGAGACAGUGGAGAAGUCAAUAAUGAACAUGAGGUGAGACAGAUGGAGGCAGCGUCCAGGAGAACAACAACAGAGGAAACACCAAUCAAAUGUAAUGACAUCUUUAAGCCUUUAUCUGAACAAGACAAACCCAUCAGAACUGUGCUGACAAAGGGAGUCGCUGGCAUCGGAAAAACAGUCUCUGUGCAGAAGUUCAUUCUGGACUGGGCUGAAGGGAAAGCAAAUCAGGACGUCCACCUCAUAUUUCCACUUCCUUUCAGAGAGCUGAAUUUGAUGAAGGACCAGAAACUGAGUCUGAUGGAGCUCUCCUCUGGAUUUCCAGAACACAGAGAGAGUGUGUGAUGUAGAGAAGGAUGAGGAAUAGAAUCAGUGACCAGAGCCUGGCCAAUAACAUCAUCACACACCUGAAGUCAUUAAGAAGUCUCUACAUCAUGUGCCACAUCCCAGUCUUCUGCUGGAUUUCAGCCACUGUUCUAGAGAGAAUGUUGGGUGAAGCAGAGAGUGGAGAGAUCCCCAAGACUCUGACUCAAAUGAACAAACAUCAUGAGAGUAAAAUACCCAAAGAAGCAGGAGAGUGAUGAAGAAAUGCUUCUUAAACUGGGACAACUGGCUUUUCAGCAGCUGAAGAAAAGGAACAUGCCACACUCUCUCAGGUCUUCCUCAUAGAAGAUCAUGAGAGAGUGUGUCACUGAUGUGAGAGAAGCAGCAGUGUACUCAGGUGUGUGUACACAGAUCUUCAGAGAGGAGUUUGGGCUUCACCAGAGUAAAGUGUACUGCUUUGUUCAUCUGACUGUUCAGGAGCAUCUCACAGCUCUGUAUGUGCACCUGACCUUCAUGAAGGAGAAGAGAAAUGUUCUGAAACAGAAUCAGGUCUCUGAACAAAAGAUGGAAGAAAAUAAAAUCUCCAAUUUACAGAAGAGUGUUGUAGAUCAGACUUUAGGAAAUCAGACUGGACAUCUGGAUCUUUUCCUUCACUUUCUUCUGGGUCUCUCACUGGAGUCUAAUCAGAAACUCUUACAUGCUUUAGUAACACAGACAGGAAGUUACUCCCAGAUAAUACAGGCAACAGUUGAUGUCCUUAUUUUGAACACUACAAUACCCAGCAUGCAAUACUCCAAAAUGCAUUUCAGCCUUUUGGGAAUCGAUAUAUAUUUUGAUUGAUCAAGCAGUCUAUACUAUACCUCUGAGUGUAUUUCCACUGAACAAAACUUGUGCUAAAGGUGACUGGGCUUUUGCUGUGGCAGCUCCCAGGCUUUGGAACAGUCUUCCCCUCCACAUAAGAUCUUCUCCUUUUAUUUCUUUGUUCAAAUCUGCUUUAAAAACCCAUUUUUGUUCUGUGUGUUUUAAUUCUGUAAAUUUAACUUUUUAAUUCUGUGUGCUAGAGUAUAUAUAUACUCUAGCAGCGGCAUUCUGGAUUAACUUGUGCUUGUUACUUGUUUCUGCUCCUACUGGAACAGAGUAUGUAAGGCAUUACAAUAAUCCAACCUAGAGGUAACAAAAGCAUGAACUCAUUUCAUUAUAUAAUAUUUCUAUGAUAGGACAUUAUAUUUCCUAUCAUAGAAAUAUUUCUGAGAUGAAAGAAGGCUAUCCUAGUGAUAUUAUCUACAUGAUUUUCAAAAGAAAGACCAGAGUCAAUAAUGACACCAAGGUCUUUUACUUCUGGACAAGAUUUAACACAGUUACACAGCAACACAGCAUCCACAGUUACUCUGUAAUCAGAAAGCUUACUUCUAGCUGCAUGUGGACCUAGUACAAGCAAUUCUGUCUGUCAGAGUUAAGCAGGAGGAAGUCAGUGACCAUCCACUGUCUAAUGUCCUUUACACAUUCUUCAGUCUUAAUAAGCUGGUGUCUCUCAUCUCUCAUUUGAAACAUAUAGCCGUGUUUCAUCAGCAUAACGGUGGAAGCUAAUACCAUGUUUACGAAUAAUUGUACCAAAAGAUAGCACUGUUCUGUUAUACUUAAAUAAAACAUUAAAAGUAAUGGAGAACAGAUUUACUAGAAAUAGCAUACAGAAAUGUUAAAAGUUUUUUUAAAAGGUAGUUCAUUUUGUACAAUUUGUUUCUAUUGUAAUUAGUUACAAUCAUUAGUUGCAUUGUAAUCAUUUAUUUGUUAAUAUCGCUUCAAUUCCAUAAUUUCAGGAAGUAGUCUGCCAGUCAUGACCUAUAAAUAGGAGGUAAAAAAACAAGUAACAUGAAAGCGCAUGCUUUUUUUGUCUAAGUGAUUGCUAGCUCACUUUUUUCAUUACAAAAACCCUACGCCUUUCGUAGUAUGGUGUGUAUGAAUUGACUGUCAUUAUCCCUUUUUUACAAUGUUGAAUAAUUGUUUAAAUGUCAGUGUUAUGUUCUGUAAGGUUUAAUGUGAGAGUUACCGCUCUGUAGUAAGUUGCUACUGCUUAAUUUGCUAGCCCGAUGCCAAUAUGUCACUAGCUAAUGCACAGUUCAUGUGGAGAUGCGAAGUGAAUCAGAGAUCUCAUGCCAUACAGUUUUAAGAUAAAUACACACGACUUAAACAUUUAGAUUUAAUUCAUUAAACUACUCAACUUGUCUCAUUAAAUGUUGUAAUAUUCAAAUGCGAGUUUAUGCAUCAUGUGUACAUGCUGUUUUUGAGAAACUGGCUUAAUUUUAUUCACCGUUUUUGUUUCUUAUGAUUGUGAAAUAUAUGUGGUAACUCAAUAAGGGACAAAGCAUUUUGUUUAUCAUUAAGAAACAGUCUCAUAUGAUAUGGGAUGGGAGGCAACACUACUCUAGGUACUUGCUAGAUAGCUGUAGUAACUAACUAACUAACUAACUAACUAACUAACUAACUAACUAACUAACUAACUAACUAACUAACUCAUUUGAAUGGCAUCAAAUGGAAGCAAAAAAGUAAUUAAUGAAUAUAAAUAAGUUUACUGGUGUUUUGGGUCUUCUACAUUUUCUUUUUUGUUUUACACUUCAGAUGUAUCAUCAAAUGAAAUCAUGGUGUCCUGGUGGUCCAGAGGCCCUAUGCUAACACUUAUACCACUUACAGGAAGAAAUGCCCCUGAGGAUGUUUACAACAAAUGUACCAAUUAUUUAGUUUUAGUGCCCCUUUAAUCAUAUUGUCUAACUGGUGUUUGUACUUUCAGCAUUUAUGAGAAUGAGAAGGUUCAGUGAAAGCUUUGAGGACGUGUUUGAUCAUUUGUACUAAUGUGAGUUCAUUAUAUUUUAUUUUAUUUCCUUCAGUAUCAGCUGUGAUUCACUUGGAGUGAAAAGUUGGUCAGCUCUGGACUCAGCACUCAGAUCAGAAACCUCCAAUCUGAGAGAACUGCAUCUGACUGUGAAAACACUGGAUCUGUCCAGGAAUAAUCUAGGAGACUCAGGAGUGAAGAGUCUCUCUGCUGGACUGGAGAAUCCUCACUGUAAAGUGGAGACACUGAGGAUGUGUAAUUGUGGUGUCUCAGAUGAAGGCUGUGCUGCUCUGACCUCAGCUCUGAGAUCAAACCCCUCACACCUGAGAGAACUGGAUCUGUCUGAUAAUAAUCUAGGAGACUCAGGAGUGAAGAGUCUCUCUGCUGUACUGGAGAAUCCUCACUGUAAACUGGAGACACUGGGGUAAGAUCAUCUCUCUGAGAGUCACAUGACCUGCUCCUCGGUAUGACACAUUCUCUAAUAGUGAGACUGAAGCAGAAGUUUUUGGUUCAUCAUCAAUGUCCUGAGGAGGAAGAUUGUUUCUUUUCACUGUAUGCUGAUGAUUUUUCACAGACUCUAAUGUCUGUAGCAAUGCACCCCCACACACGUUUUAAUAAACCUCGCAGAUGGAUUCAGCAUCUUCUGCAGCCAACAGGUUGUUACAGAAUGCUUUGCCAUCAAUGAAUCCAGCGGAGGUUUCUCAAUUCCAAGCCACUGUCAUCUAUGCAACAACUCCACAAAGUGUGCAUUACUGAUGUUCCUGCUUACUUGGAGGCCCUGUUUACAGCCUAAGGAGAAAGCCCUGGCUCGGCCAUUUCAUGAUUGCCAGAGCCUAUGCAACUUGGCAAAACAUGGUGAUCUGCUGAGGAGCCACCUCCACCAGCAACUAUGCUUUUAUUGCGGCCAUUACAUCCCUGCCCCUCCUGCCCCAAGAAACCUGGUCAGAGAACCGCAAAGGUGAACUCUUGUCCCUAAAGUUUACAGUUACCAGUGCAAAUAUGAUAUGCUAAUGGGGUUUGUCAUCCCUUAGCCCUAAUAGACUCUGGGUCAGCCGUCAACUUGAUUCAUUGGCAGCUGGUUGAGGAACUCCAUCUACCCACCGUUCCUCUGAAGAUGACGGCAGUGGACAGCCAGGAGAUGGCUAUAUUACUCCUCAAAUUGAUCCUAUCACUGUUUCAACAGCAACUCUUCAUCAAGGCAGAGAAGGCCGGGACCCCAUAACUUCCCUGGGUUACGUUAUCAGCCCUCAGGGGGUGGAGAUAGACCCCAGGAAGGUAGGAGUCAUAACAGAGUGGCCUACUCCCUCAAAUGUCAGAGACCUCCAAUAAUUCCUCUGCUUUGCAAACUUUUAUCAUUAAUUAAUUCACUACAGCCCACCACCUCCAGUUGUGGAAUUGAGGCCAUGCUGUCUAAUGGCUGUCUUGGAAAGGUCUUCCCCUGAGCCUUCAUUAAAAAAAAAAACUUACCUCAGCAGAAGUAAAUUACGAUGUGGGAAACAUCUGGAAUCUGGAAAACAUUAAUAACGGCAAGCAAUUGAACCCCCAUCAAGCCCAGGGGGCACACUUUUUCAUUUGCUUUAAUUUUACCGUUAUGUAUCGACCUGGAACCAAAAAUAGCAAGGCCAAAGCCCUCUUCCGCCACCAUGACCAAGUAAAUAAACACCUGGUCUCAGAACGUAUCCUAUUGCCUAGUGGUGUCUCAGAUGAAGGCUGUGCUGCUCUGUCUUCAGCUCUGAGAUCAAACCCCUCACACCUGAGAAAACUGAAUCUGUCUGAGAAUAAUCUAGGAGACUCAGGAGUGACAAGUCUCUCUGCUGUACUGGAGAAUCCUCACUGUAAACUGGAGAAACUGGGGUUGUGUGGUUGUGGUGUCUUAGAAGAAGGCUGUACUCCUCUGACUUCAGCUCUGAGAUCAAACCCCUCACACCUGAGAGGACUGAAUCUGUCGGAAUAAUCUAGGAGACUCAGAAGUGAAGUCUCUCUGCUGUACUAGAGAAUCCUCACUGUAAACUGGAGACACUGGGGUUGUGUGAUUGUGGUAUCUCAGAUGAUGGCUGCACUGCUCUGACUUCAGCUCUGAACUCUAACCCCUCACACCUGAGAUACUUGGAUCUGUCCUGUAAUAAUCUAGGAGACUCAGGAGUGAAGAGUCUCUCUGCUGUACUGGAGAAUCCUCACUGUAAACUGGAGACAUUGGAGUAAGGUCAUAUUUUAAAUCAUUAAUGAUAAAUCAUGGUCUCAUCUUCAUCCAGGUCAUAAUAAUAGAUAAAGACAUUCUGUAAAAAUAAAACACAGUCACAGUUGUUUUUGUCAAUACUGAAUAAACCAUUUACACUUUCACAGUCUGGGUUUAAAAAAUACACCAAUGAACUAACAGAUUCUUCGAACAGACUCCAACCCUGUUUUGCUCUGAAUACUGACAUCUCAUUUUCUUAUCAAACAUCUCUGUUCAUCUGAUUUAAAAAAAAGAAAAAGAAACUAAAGAAAUAUUAUGUUAAAUGUUAACUUAAAGGAACACUUUUAUUUAGAGUAUAGCAUCAAGUCAAUUAAACUCCUGGGAUAUUGCUCUGGUCAUUUAAGUAGCAGUUUCAGCUGCUAAAAUUGUGUACAUUUGUACAGACAUUUCAUACCUGUGUAUAUGUUUGCACCUGACACCAAGACAAAUUCCUAGUACUGUAAAGUACUCUUUGCUGACCCUUUGCUGUAUCUGGCAGUAAAACCUUUUCUGAUUACUGAUUUCUGAUGAAAUGAACAACAGGUGCACUAGAUGGGCAACAAUAAGAUGACCCCUAAAACAUGAAUGGUUUUACAGGUGGAGACCAGUGACAGUUAUUUUUCCUACUCAUCUUUUCUGAGUGUUUUUCACUAGUUUUGCAUUUGGCUCUGGUCAGUGUCACUACUGGUAGCAUGAGGUGAUACCUGGACACUACAAUGGUUGCACAGGCAGUCCAACUCCUCCAGGAUGGCCCAUCAAUAUGUGCAUUGCCAGAAGGUUUGCUGUGUCUCCCAACACAGUCUCAAGUGCAUUCCAGGAGAUUCCAGGAGAGCUGGACAGGGCUGUAGAAGAUCCUUUACCCAUCAGCAGGACCAGUAUCUGCUUCUUUGUUCAAGGAGGCACAGGAUGAGCACUUUCAGAGCCCUACAAAAUGAUCUUCAGCAGGCCACUGGUGUGAAUAUCUCUGACCAAACAAUCAGAAACAGACAUCAUGAGGGUGGCCUGAGAGCCCAAAAUUCUCUAGUGGGCCCUGUGCUCACUGCCCGGCACCUUGGAGCUCGAUUGGCAUUUACCAUUGAACACCAGAAUUGGCAGGUCCUUCAAUGGCGCCCUGUGCUUUUCACAGAUGAGAGCAGAUUCACCCUGAGACAUGUGACAGAUGUGAAAGGGUCUGGAGAAGCCAUGGAGAACAUUAUGCUGCCUGCAUCAUUCAGCAUGACCAGUUUGGUGGAGGGUCAGUGACGGUCAUUGGAGGCAUAUCCAUGGAGGGACGCACAGACCUCUACAGGCUAGACAAUUGAACCCUGACAUUAGGUAUUGGGAUGAUAGGUAUCUGGUGCAGUGGGUCCUGGGUUCCUCUUGGUGCACAACAAUGUCCGGCCUCAUGUGGCAAGAGUAUGCAGGCAGUUCCUGGAGGAUGAAGGAAUUGAUACAUUGAAUGGUGCGCACACUCGGCUGACCUAAAUCUAAUAGAACACCUCUGGAACAUUAUGUUUCGGUCCAUCCGACGCCACCAGGUUGCACCUCAGACUGUCCAGGAGCUCAGUAAUGCCCUGAUCUAGAUCUGGGAGAAAAUUCCCCAGGACAGCUGUCGUCUCAUUAGGAGUAUGCCCCGACAUUGUCAAGCAUGUAUACAAGCACGUGGGGGCCAUACAAACUAUGGAGUACCAUUUUGAGUUGCUGCAGUGAAAUUUCAGUAAAAUGUACUAGCCUGCUUCAUCAUUUUUACACUUUGAUUGUUGGGGUGUCUUUGAAUUCAGCCCUCUGUAGACUGAUAAUUUUCAUUUCCAUCAAACAGUGUCUUUUUCCUUCAGGGGUCGCCACAGCAAAUCAUCUCUCCACCUAUCCCUAUCUUCAGCAUCCUCAACACUUUCACCCACUAGUUUCAUAUCCUCAUUUAUUACAUCCAUAUACCUCCUCUUUGGCCUUCCUCUUUUCCUCCUACCUGGCAGCUCCAUGUCCAACACUCUCCUACCAAUAUACUCACUCUCCCUCCUCUGGACAUGUCCAAACCUUCUUAAUCUGGCCUCUCUAACUUUGUCCCCCAAACGUCCAACAUGAGCUGUCCCUCUGAUGUACUCGUUCCUAAUCCUGUCCAACCGUGUCACUCCCAAAGAGAACCUCAACAUCUUCAGCUCUGCUACCUCCAGCUCUGACUCCUGUCUCUUCCUCAGUGAUACUGUCUCUAAACCAUACAGCAUGGCUGGUCUCACUGUCCUGUAUCACCUUCCCUUUGAUUCUCCCUGAAAUUUUUCUAUCACACAGAACUCCCGACACCUUUCUCCACCCAUUCCAACCUGCCUGCACUCACUUCUUUACCUCUUUCUCACACUCUCCAUUACUCUGGACUGUUGACCCCAAGUACUUAAACUCCUGUACGUUCUUCACCUCUUCACCCUGUAAUCUUACUGUUCCACUUCCCUCCCUGUCAUUCACACACAUGUACUCAGUCUUACUACCACUGACUUUCAUUCCUCUUCUCUCCAGAGCAAACCUCCACCUCUCCAGAUUUUCCUCCACCUGCUCCCUGCUCUCACUCCAGAUCAUAAUGUCAUCUUCAAACAUCAUUGUCCAAGGAGACUCCUGUCUGACCUCCUCUGACAACUGUCCAUCACCAUAGCAAACAGGAAGGGGCUCAGAGCCGAUCCCUGAUGCAGUCCCACCUCCACUCUGAACUCCUCUGUCUGACCUACAGCACACCUCACCACUGUCCUGCUCCUCUCAUACAUGUCCUGCACCACUCUGACAUACUUCUCUGCUACUCCUGACUUCCUCAUACAGUACCACAGCUCUUCUCUUGGCACCCUGUCAUACGCUUUCUCCAAGUCUACAAACACACAGUGCAGCUCUCUCUGACCAUCCCUAUACUUCUCCAUCAACAUUCUCAGGGCAAAAAUUGCAUCUGUUGUGCUCUUUCUGGGCAUGAAGCCAUACUGCUGCUCACAAAUUUCCACUACCUUCCUUAACCUAGCUUCCACUACUCUUUCCCAGAGCUUCAUUGUAUGACUCAUCAACUUUAUCCCCCUAUAGUUGCUGCAACUCUGCACAUCACCCUUAUUCUUAAAGAUCGGCACUAAUACACUUCUUCUCCAUUCCUCAGGCAUCUUCUCACUCUCUAAAACUCUGUUAAACAAACUAGUUAAAAAUUCCACUGCUGCCUCUCCUAGACACUUCCAGACCUCCACCGGGAUGUCGUCAGGACCAACUGCCUUUCCACCUUUCAUCCUCUUCAAAGCCUUCCUGACUUCAUCCUUUCUAAUCUUAUCUACUUUCUGUUCCACAGAGUUUACCCCUUCUACUCUUUUUUCCCUCUCAUUUUCCUCAUUCAUCAGCUCUUCAAAGUACUCCUUCCAUCUCCUCUGUACACUCUCCUCACUUGUGAGCACCUUUCCAUCUCUAUCCUUAAUAACUCUAACUUGCCGCACAUCCUUCCCAUCUCGAUCCCUCUGUCUAGCUAACCUGUACAAGUCCUUCUCUAGUGUCUAACCUAGUGUACAACUCAUCAUACGCCUUCUGCUUGGCCUUAGACACCUCCCUCUUCACUCUGCACUGUAAGUCCUUGUAUUCCUGUCUUUUCUCUUCAGUCCCGUCCAUGUCCCAUUUCUUCUUGGCUAAACUCUUCCUCUGAAUACUAUCCUGAACUUUCUAAUUCCACCACCAAGUCUCCUUAUCUUCUUUCCUCCUUCCAGAUGACACACCCAGCACCUUUCUUCCUGUCUCCCUGAUCACUUCUGCUGUAGUUUCCCAAUCAUCUGGCAGCACUCCCUGACUACCAACACUACUACUAGCAGAAAACGGACAUCACUCCAUUUUCCAUCAGUGGGGACUGUGUAGAGAGGGUGGCUGACUUCCGGUUCCUGGGAGUCCAGAUAGAGGAGGGUCUGACUUGGAGCAUGAACAUCUCUGAGCUUCUGAAAAAGGCCCAGCAGAGACUCUACUUCCUUAGGGCACUGAGAAAGAACAACAUCACUCAGAGACUACUGGUGUCCUUCUACCAGUGCUCCAUAGAGAGAAUCCUAACCUACUGCAUUGGGUAGGUUACCAGCUGCACAGGGGCUCAGAGGAAAGCGCUCCAGAAGGUCAUGGCCCAGAAGUUCCUCGGCUGCCCUCUCCCAACACUGGAAGAACUACACAGUUCAAACUGUAUUAAGAAAGCCCAAAGCAUCCUUAAGGACACAUCACACCCUGGACAUGAUCUGUUUGAACUGACAGUGAUACAUUACAAUCAGACUAAAAAAACAGUUUUUAUCCAACAGCCAUAACUGCAUUUAAUAAUCAAAAAACACUGUUGACAUGGGAUGUGCAAUAGAUGAUGAAUGUGAUUGUGUGUGGGAUAGGGCUGUCUUAAAUUAUUGUAGUAUACAAUUCAAUUCAGUUUUAUUUGUAUAGAGCUUUUAACAAAGAGCAUUGUCUCAAAGCAGCUUUACAUAAGAAACAACAUAAGACACAACAAAUAUAUAAACAGACAAACAAUCUAGUCCUAGAUGUUAUCCCAAGUGAGCAAGCCUGAGGCAACUGUGGGAAAGAAAAAUUUCCUCUGAUGGUAUGAGGAAGAAACCUUGAGAGGAACGGUUUCCAUUUCCUUUAUUUAUUCAUUUUAUACUAAUUAGUACUUUUUUAAUUGUUGAAGGUUUUAAUGUAUGUAUGACUGCUGCACUUUUUGACUGAUUGACACUUUUUAAAUUUAUUUGUACAUGUAGCAUGGUCCAAUGACAAUAAACAUCUAUUUAUCUAAUGUGCUCCCUGGCUCUGUGUGUGUUUUGCUCUGUCCCCGCUCAGUGCACUACAAUAUACAUGCACGGAUCAG